AUUGAACGCUGGCGGCAUGCCUUACACAUGCAAGUCGAACGGUAACAGGGACUUCGGUCUGCUGACGAGUGGCGAACGGGUGAGUAAUAUGUAGGAAUAUACCUAUAGGUGGGGGAUAACUACUCGAAAGAGUAGCUAAUACCGCAUAAUAUCUACGGAUUAAAGCAGGGGAUCGCAAGACCUCACGCCAAUAGCCUAGCCUACAUUCGAUUAGCUAGUUGGUAGAGUAAAAGCCUACCAAGGCGACGAUCGAUAGCUGGUCUGAGAGGAUGACCAGCCACACUGGAACUGAGGACACGGUCCAGACUCCUACGGGAGGCAGCAGUGGGGAAUUUUGGACAAUGGGCGAAAGCCUGAUCCAGCAAUGCUGCGUGAGUGAAGAAGGCCUUCGGGUUGUAAAGCUCUUUCGGACAGAACGAAAUCUCUUGCUCUAACAUAGCGAGAGUCUGACGGUACUGUAAUAAGAAGCACCGGCUAACUACGUGCCAGCCGCCGCAGUAAAAC
rnacentral:rRNA from 1 species